rnacentral:rRNA from 1 species
UAGGAUCUGGAACGCCCUGUUUUCCAAAGAUUUAUCGCCUAAGGAUGGGACUGCGGCUGAUCAGGCUGUUGGUGGUGUAACGGACCACCAAAUCUAUGAUCAGUACGGGUCAUGAGAGUGAUAGCCCGGAGAAGGAGACUGAGACAAGGCUCCUAGCCCUACGGGGUGCAGCAGUUAAGAAUCCUUUACACUGCGCGAAAGCGUGAUAGGGGGAUCCCAAGUGAUAUAGUUUUACUAUAUCUGUGGUCAAGUGUAAAUUACUUGGCAAGAAAGGGGUGGGUAAUACGGGUGCCAGCAGCCGCGGUAAUCCCCGAGCCCCGAGUGGUAGCCGCGUUUAUUGGGUCUAAAGCAUUCGUAGCCUGAUUAGUGAGUUCUCGGUGAAAUUGUUCAGCUCAACUGAACGAAUUGCCUUGAAUACUACUAGUCUAGGGAUAGGGUAAAGUCAGGAGUAUGCCUGGGGGAGGGGUAAAAUCCAUUAAUCCUGGGUAGACUAUCAGUGGCGAAGGCGCUUGACUGGAACUAGUCCGACGGUAAAGGAUGAGAGCUAGGGGAGCAAACGGGAUUAGAUACCCCGGUAGUCCUAGCCGUAAACGCUGCCCGCUGGGUAUUACACAUUCCUCGAGUCUGUGUAGUGCCGUGGUGAAGACGUUAAGCGGGCCACCUGGGGAGUACGGUCGCAAGACUGAAACUUAAAGGAAUUGGCGGGGGAGUACAACAAGAGGUGGGACCUGCUGUUCAAUUGGAUC